rnacentral:rRNA from 1 species
AGGAUAAACGCUGGCGGCGUGCCUAACACAUGCAAGUCGAACGUCUCUUCUUUCGGGAAGAGGAGUGGCGGACGGGUGAGGAACACGUGGGAACCUGCCCUUCAGUGAGGAAUACCGGCGAGAAAUCGCCGACAAGACCGCAUAGCCCUCUCUGGUGAGAGCCAGAGAAGGAAAGCUUCGCAAGAGGCGCUGGAGGAGGGGCCUGCGUCCGAUUAGCUAGUUGGUGGGGUAAGAGCCUACCAAGGCGUCGAUCGGUAGCUGGUCUGAGAGGACGAUCAGCCACACUGGGAUUGAGAACGGCCCAGACUCCUACGGGGGGCAGCAGUGAGGAAUUUUCGGCAAUGGGGGAAACCCUAACCGAGCAACGCCGCGUGCAGGAAGACGGCCUCGGGUUGUAAACUGCUUUUCUUUGGGACGAGCAAGGACGGUACCAGAGGAAUCAGCCCCGGCUCACUACGUGCCAGCAGCCGC